CCCAGACAUUUUCCAAAUGAGCAUUUGGACCUGACUUUGGUGGAGGCAGAGCGCCGAGCAAGAAGAAGUGAUAAAUGUACCCAUUCAUUGGAUGUUGCAGAUAGCAUUUGGGUCAUUGGAGACCAGCUGGCCAAGCGAAGCAGACUUUGGCUUUUAGAGUUGAAUAACCAGGCUAUAAAGGAUCUGUUGCAGAAGAAAAUCAAAUUUUCUUCAUUUUCUUAAAAACAGUAUUUGGUAACAAUGUGUAUUUUGGGAUAUAGUCCUAUAUUCAUAGAUGGAAAGAGCAUUUAGGGCCAUGUCCUAAUAUUGUCCUUCUCUAUCAGUCCAAUGGUAAAGUUGAAGUUUCACUCAAACUAACAGAGGAAGAAGAGGUAGGGAAAACAAUUUGACCCAAGAUUUAUGUUAUUAAGUAUUAAUUAGACUGCUACCCAGAAAAUGUUAACAUUGGCAAAUAAAAUGAAAAUUAAUUUUAAUUAAAAAAAGGAUAGGACUUUGACUGCAUUGCAGCCACCAUCUGAGAGGGGGGAGGGGGAGGGAGAAAGAGAAAUGUUCCGUACAUGCCAACAUGUGGUCACUUUAAAAAUAUUGAGAAUCAAAAGAAUGUUUGAAGCCUGUUCCCAAUCAAUGUUUAACCAAUUUUCAGCCGGAAUGGUCUAAUCUUACCAUAAACACCCCAGCAGAAGCAACGAUUUGUUCCUGUAUGGAAGGAAAGCCAACAUAAUAUUGAAGAACCUACAAAGGCAGAAAGCAGCAAUAUCUCUCUAAUAAUUUGAUUUGGAGAUUUCUUUCAAAGGGUUGAUUUAAUUAAAUCAUUUGAAUCAGAACAUUCCUUUGAUGUUUCAUAUGGCCCAUAUCAGAAGGUAUGGAAUAAAAAUCAGUUAUAUGUGCCAUUUUACUGUGAUGUAUUUUGAUGAUAUAUAAACAUUUGAAUUUAUAUUAUUGAUUGUGUAAAAAGGAAAAUAAAAUGAAAACUACAUUAA